rnacentral:rRNA from 1 species
GGGCCCGCACAAGCGGUGGAGCAUGUGGUUCAAUUCGACGCAACGCGAAGAACCUUACCCAGGCUUGAACAGCGAGUGACCACUCACGAAAGUGAGCUUCCGCAAGGACACUCGUAGAGGUGCUGCAUGGCUGUCGUCAGCUCGUGUCGUGAGAUGUUGGGUUAAGUCCCGCAACGAGCGCAACCCUUGUCUGCUGUUGCCAUCACGUUAUGGUGGGCACUCUGCAGAGACUGCCGGUGAUAAACCGGAGGAAGGUGGGGAUGACGUCAAGUCAGCAUGGCCUUUAUGUCUGGGGCUACACACGUGCUACAAUGGCAGAUACAAACCGUCGCGAGACCGUAAGGUGGAGCUAAUCGGAUAAAGUCUGUCUCAGUUCGGAUUGUCGGCUGCAACUCGCCGGCAUGAAGUUGGAAUCGCUAGUAAUCGCGGAUCAGCACGCCGCGGUGAAUACGUUCCCGGGCCUU